CCUACAUCUAGGCCUGGGCACAGCCUGGACACCAGCGUGCCAGGACCGGAGUGGAGGGACACUUUUUUCUUUUUGUACGGAUGAAGACCAUUGUAGAAUCCUCUGCAACGGCUCCAUAUAUACACACACACGUAUAUAUAUAUAUAAACCUUGUACACACACACACCGUGUACACACAGACACACACCGUAUACACACACGUAUAUAUAUAAGCCUUGUACACACAGACACACACCGUGUACACACAGACACACACCGUGUACACACACACACACACCGUGUACACACAGACACACACCGUGUACACACACACACACACACCGUGUACACAACACACACACACACCGUGUACACAGACACACACCGUGUACACACAGACACACACCGUGUACACACAGACACACACCGUGUACACACAGACACAUUAUAUAAACCGUGUACACACACACAAAGACACACACACAGACACACACACAACUAUAUACACACACACACCUAUACACACACCUAUAUACACACACACACCUAUACACACGUAUAUAUACCGUCUAGGAGGGAGGAGGAAGUGGUGAAGGUGGUGGUGAAGGUGGUGGUGAAGGUGGUGGUGAAGGUGGUGGUGGUGAAGGUGGUGGUGAAGGUGGUGGUGGUGGUGAAGAUGGUGAUUGUGGUCAGCAGUGCCACUGAGUAGCGUUUCAGAGUGAAUUUAACAAUCAAUGUAAGUGGAGAAAAAUCUCACCCUGCCACUGACCCCCUCACCCACCCACCCACUCACCCACCCACUCACCCACCCCCUCACCCACCCACCCACUCAC